UGGUAAGUGGUCAUUUCUUUGAAUGCACCACCUUCAUUGUCUGCAAGAGCGUGAAUGUAUUUUUCUUCGUGCUUCUGAAGGGCUGUCAAUAUGACCUCAGUGUUUGGAGGACCUGACCUGGAUGCUUGUCCCUGUUCAUGCUAUGGUAUCACAAACGAACAGCUUCAAUUUUGACAGUAGAAAGGAAAAAACCGAAAUAAGGCCUCUCCAACAAAAGGCUUCUUUUGCAGCCAACCCACCCAAGGCACGGGGAUUAUGAUUUUCAGUGUUGAAAAGCCAUCAGUCAUCAAAAGUUCGUGAAAGGUGCAACACUAUAACCUCAACACAGGCAAAUAAGACUGUGGGCUUUAUAAUUAAUAUUUUAAACAUUAUCCAAUCUAAGAAAAAGUUAAUGAGUUAUUUAGCUAUGUGUCUUUUAAGAUGCCCUUAGAAAAAACCAUUACCAAUUCCUUUAAGUGGAGGAGAAAACCCAAAGAAAUGAAGCCAGGUAUUUUGCACUGAAAGCAUGAUAUAAACUGACAUCAAGUAUUGCUCUGUUGCUCAGUACAAGGAUAAAAUUGGUAGUAAAAAUUCAGAUUUUCCCAACAAUUAAAACUCUAGAGAGAUAGAUCAGGUGACUGCACAUAAAGUGGAGACACCAUACCAUCACAAUAUGCCUGUUUGUUAUUUGCUCUUGAUUAUCUGGUGCUAAUUCACAACAGAUUUGAUUCCAAUAUAAUUUUCUUUUAAAAAAGGACAUAAAAAUGAAAAAAAAGCUACUGCUCAAAAGUUUCAAAGGAAAGAUUUUUGAUUAAAUUGGUGAAAAGACAGGAAAAGUCAUUAUAUUUGCACAAACUUUUAAAUUUAAAAUUCACUUCAUUGAGACUGCUCAAUACAAUACAAGAGAAGUACUAGGUAGGUCAAGAUCUAAGUAAGUACCUUGCCUACCAUGAAACUCAAUUCUGUUUUAUAAUGUAAGCUUUCCUUAAAAUAAAGCAUUAUUAUGAAAUAAAAACUAUUAUUAUGAACUCCUUUUCUCAGAUGGAUGUCAAAAACUGAUCAGACACCUUUAAAGGAAAACUAAACCAUGAAUUUACUCAGCUAUACAGAAGGAUUACAUUAAUUUCAAUGCAAGAAAAUGCUAGCUGUCAUUAAAUAAUUUUUGGUCAACAAGAUUCCCCUACAAAUUUUUCUGUUCAUUUACUCAUCUGGUGAAGAACCAGAAAAUGAAAUUAGGCUGAAGAAAUCAGACUUGUACAAAGUGCUCAUUUUAAAUAAAAUAUUAAGGAACUGUUUUUUAACAUUUUCAAGAUUAUUUAAAAUGCUAUUAACAAGGAAGAACUAUUUUAUUCCUAGGGCCUGAGACAAUUUUAUAAGAAUAAUAUCUUUUUUUUAGAUAAAGACAUCACAUAGCUGUAUUAUAUGAAUUAAUAGCAAUCAACUUCCCUGCUCUGCUGUAUCUACUUUUCAACUGGAAUUGUUAAUAUAUUAUUAUAAUUACCUC